rfam:Crassostrea gigas strain 05x7-T-G4-1.051#20 contig11012, whole genome shotgun sequence.
CACCAGAUAGCUCAGUUGGUAGAGCACCUGACUAGAGAGUCAGGGGGCCCGGGUUCCAAUUCCGGUCUGGUCU